GACGAACGCUGGCGGCGUGCUUAACACAUGCAAGUCGAACGGAAAGGCCCUGCUUUUGUGGGGUGCUCGAGUGGCGAACGGGUGAGUAACACGUGAGUAACCUGCCCUUGACUUUGGGAUAACUUCAGGAAACUGGGGCUAAUACCGGAUAGGAGCUCCUGCUGCAUGGUGGGGGUUGGAAAGUUUCGGCGGUUGGGGAUGGACUCGCGGCUUAUCAGCUUGUUGGUGGGGUAGUGGCUUACCAAGGCUUUGACGGGUAGCCGGCCUGAGGGGGUGACCGGCCACAUUGGGACUGAGAUACGGCCCAGACUCCUACGGGAGGCAGCAGUGGGGAAUAUUGCACAAUGGGCGGAAGCCUGAUGCAGCAACGCCGCGUGCGGGAUGACGGCCUACGGGUUGUAAACCGCUUUCGCCUGUGACGAAGCGUGAGUGACGGUAAUGGGUAAAGAAGCACCGGCUAACUACGUG
rnacentral:rRNA from 1 species